CCCUUAGAUGUCCUGGGCCGCACGCGUGCUACACUGACACCUGCAACGAGUUAUUCCAGCUCCGAAAGGCAGUUGGUAAUCAGAAAUAGGUGUCGUGAUGGGGAUAGACCCUUGGAAUUAUGGAUCUUGAACGAGGAAUGCCUAGUAAGCGCACGUCAUUAGCGUGCGCUGAUUAAGUCCCUGCCCUUUGUACACACCGCCCGUCGCUCCUACCGAUUUCGAGUGGUCCGGUGAGCCUUUUGGAGAGUGAGCGUCCUUGAGGCGCUUGCUCGAAGUCAGGCAAAUCUUACUACUUAGAGGAAGGAUAANUCGUANCA
rnacentral:rRNA from 1 species